rnacentral:lncRNA from 1 species
GACCAGGGCGGGCUCGGGCUCUUCCACCACCCCUUGUUGAUGAGCGACCGAGGGAAGGAGCGGAGCCACAGCCUGGGAAGGCCAGUGGGAUGCGGGAGCACGCGAGGGCGGAAGGUGGGACGGUCGACGUCGCUGUUUUGUUCGGGAUGCUCCGAUAUGGUGAUGCUCGAGCACAUGCACAUGGAAGACACGCCGCGGACCACCACCGCCUUGUGAUUGAGCGCAUCAGUGCGCGACUGGCCCAUGAAGGGUUGGUGGCAGUACUCUAAUAGAUGUAGAGUGUGGCUAUGAACUCCUCUCGCGGCUUGGCAACGACACCGGACAAAGCGUGCAUCAGGUAUGUCCUAUCUUGCCACGGUUGUUGGUAAUACAACAUUUUCUCUUGGAUACAUUUCUCAACACUUGCCCUGUCGUCCCUAACGCGGGCACUGUCCAAGCUACUCCUCUCAUGCCCCAUAUCAGCCACGACGAUGGUGUUCGUCCACCUGCAGAAGUCGCCCAAUCAUCUGUGUCACCGUGUGUUCUCUCAGGUCAGCUUCUCUCUCUCUCUCUCNNNNNNNNNNNNNNNNNNNNNNNNNNNNNNNNNNNNNNNNNAGAUCUGGAGCGCCGCAUGCCGUGUACCUCUUGUUCGUCCACCUGCAGCAAUCGCCCAAUCAUCUGUGUCACUGUGUGUUCUCUCAGGUGAGCUUCUCUCUCUCUCUCGAGUUGGUACCUCUUGUUCCCCUUCAUUCACCCGUUUUGUGAGCCUGCAGUUUGAUGUGGACGACACGCCGCGGACCACCACCGCCUUGUGAUUGAGCGCAUCAGUGCACGACUGGCCCAUGAAGGGUUGGUGGCAGUACUCUAAUAGAUGUAGAGUGUGGCUAUGAACUCCUCUCACAGCUUGGCAACGACACCGGACAAAGCGUGCAUCAGGUACGUCCUAUCUUGUCGCGGUUGUUGGUAAUACAACAUUUGCUCUUGGAUACAUUUCUCAACACUUGCCGUGUCGUCCCUAACGCGGGCACUGUCCAAGCUACUCCUCUCAUGCCCCAUAUCAUCCACGACGAUGGUGUUCGUCCACCUGCAGCAGUCGCCCAAUCAUCUGCGUCACUGUGUGUUCUCUCAAGUGAGCUUCUCUCUCUCUCGAGUUGGUACCUCUUGUUCCCCUUCAUUCACCCGUUUUGUGAGCCUGCAGUUUGAUGUGUGCACUUGUGAUUUUUUCUUUGCAU